rnacentral:sRNA from 1 species
CUGGAACCCCUGGGCUCAAGCGAUCCACUCGCUUCAGCUUCUCAAAGUGCUGGGAUUACAGGCGUGAGCCACAGCACCCAGGCUUCAGCUCUCUUAAGGAGGAACAUAUCAUCUGAGACAAACCUGAAAUGCCAAACCAAACUGAGUUAGCCCCUCUCUGUCUGCUGUAUAUAUUGGAGUAAUAAUCUAUUUGUCUUGAUAAAGGGAUUACAUGCUUGAAUUGCAAAAACCUUUCUUUCUUUUGGGUUGCCCAGUGUGCAGGACUAAGAGUUAUUUCGAUAAAUUUUGCACCAGGCUGACUGUCUCUCUGUGGGGUCGGGGGAGUUUUCAGGGUCUCACGUCUUGCAGGGAAGGUUUGGUUGUGAGAUCGAGAAUAACAGAAGCAGUGGAGCAUUCUGGAAAUAUUACUAUGAUGGAAAGGAAUACAUUGAAUUCAACAAAGAAAUCCCAGCCUGGGUCCCCUUCGACCCAGCAGCCCAGAAUACCAAGCAGAAGUGGGAGGCAGAACCAGUCUACGUGCAGCGGGCCAAGGCUUACCUGGAGGAGGAGUGCCCUGCGACUCUACGGAAAUACCUGAAAUACAGCAAAAAUAUCCUGGACCGGCAAGAUCCUCCCUCUGUAGUGGUCACCAGCCACCAGGCCCCAGGAGAAAAGAAGAAACUCAAGUGCCUGGCCUACGACUUCUACCCAGGGAAAAUUGAUGUGCACUGGACUCGGGCCGGCGAGGUGCAGGAGCCUGAGUUAUGGGGAGAUGUUCUUCACAAUGGAAAUGGCACUUACCAGUC